UACGUAGGGGGCAAGCGUUGUCCGGAAUCAUUGGGCGUAAAGAGCGUGUAGGCGGCCCGAUAAGUCCGCUGUGAAAGUCCAGGGCUCAACCCUGGAAUGCCGGUGGAUACUGUCGGGCUAGAGUCCGGAAGAGGCGAGUGGAAUUCCUGGUGUAGCGGUGAAAUGCGCAGAUAUCAGGAGGAACACCAACGGCGAAGGCAGCUCGCUGGGACGGUACUGACGCUGAGACGCGAAAGCGUGGGGAGCAAACGGG
rnacentral:rRNA from 1 species